UUCAUUUAUUGAUCUUGCUGGCA
rnacentral:miRNA from 1 species